CUAUUUUUGGCCAUUUCAGUAAAUAUUGUGGAAAUCUUAGCGUAGUGUAAAUAAACGUAAGAGCUUUACUCACCCAAAUAAAUGUUUUUUUUUAGGAGAGAAAUCUGUGUAGAUUAACACCCAGUGCUUGUUUAACGUAAAAAAUAUUUAUAUUUUUUUUAACUGAAGUUUUGGUUACUUCGGCACCCCCCAGCAGCAAGACCUGCGGAAUUACAAGGGUCCUCUAUUUUCGGCCACCUUAUAUUCAAGCUUAAAAUACCCUAUAUUGACUGAGAAAAAGAAUAUAUGUACCUAAGCUUUUAUUUUAAUAAUAACUCUUAAAGGGGACAUGAAACAUUUCAGUUUGUACAAGUUUUCUAAGGGAUUAAAUAUAAUGGAAUUUAUUUGGGGGGGAAUUUUUUUAUAUAAAAUGUUUACACACUAAAUUAUAAUAUAUUUAUUUUUGUUACGUUUGAGCUAGGGCGCCGCCAUGUUGCCCGUGCAGCGCUGGUGACGUCACGAGGUUGGUUGGUUUAAGAUCCCAGGCAUAUAGCUAGAGGAAAAGAGCUAAUUGUUUGUGGAGAUUAUGGAUGAAGACGAAGCUGAACUAGGCUAACAUGGAGCAUUUACUCAGAGAUCUUUCCUGCAGAAACCUGAGCAGGACUUUUCAGAUGCUUUUCUGAGAGAGAGAGACGUUUUGGGAGUGUUUAUUCUCUCUCUACGUGGAGCCGUGCAGACACCCUGCAGCGCGUCAACAGCAGGCCUGUCCCUCCAUCACCCCGGCAGUGGAUCAAAUGCGAGGCGAGUUUCAGAGGAUGCUCUGUGACAGCAGACAGGCCGGCGAGAGAGAGAGAGGGAGGUAGAUUUUAUAGCUUUGCUGUAGAGAAAGGAACAGACACUCGGUUCGCUGUUUGAUUUUUACAUUAGGAUUCUGCAGCUGCAAAAAAAAAAAAAAAAAUCCCAUAAAAAAACUGAUAUGACAACAUAUCGAUUCUCAAUAUGUGCUUUUAUAUCCCUGUUGUCACACAACCAACUUUGUAUCUCUAAAAUGGCAACUUAACAAGAGGAGUAAAAAAAAAAAAAAAACAUU
rnacentral:lncRNA from 1 species